UACAGAGGUCCCAAGCGUUGUUCGGAUUCACUGGGCGUAAAGGGUGCGUAGGCGGUCGGAUAAGUCUGACGUGAAAUCUCCGGGCCUAACCCGGAAACUGCGUUGGAAACUAUCUGGCUAGAGGAAUGGAGGGGAGACUGGAAUACUUGGUGUAGCAGUGAAAUGCGUAGAUAUCAAGUGGAACACCAGUGGCGAAGGCGAGUCUCUGGACAUUUCCUGACGCUGAGGCACGAAAGCCAGGGGAGCAAACGGG
rnacentral:rRNA from 1 species